rnacentral:rRNA from 1 species
CAGUUAUCGUUUAUUUGAUAGUACCCUACUACUUGGAUAACCGUGGUAAUUCUAGAGCUAAUACAUGCUAAAAACCCCGACUUCGGAAGGGGUGUAUUUAUUAGAUAAAAAGCCAACGCCCUUCGGGGCUCCGUGGUGAUUCAUGAUAACUUCACGAACCGCAUGGCCUUGCGCCGGCGGUGGUUCAUUCAAAUUUCUGCCCUAUCAACUUUCGAUUGUUGGGUAUUGGCCAACAAUGGUUACGACGGGUAACGGGGAAUUAGGGUUCGAUUCCGGAGAGGGAGCCUGAGAAACGGCUACCACAUCCAAGGAAGGCAGCAGGCGCGCAAAUUACCCAAUCCCGACGCGGGGAGGUAGUGACAAUAAAUACUGAUACAGGGCUCUUUUGGGUCUUGUAAUUGGAAUGAGUACAAUUUAAAUACCUUAACGAGGAACAAUUGGAGGGCAAGUCUGGUGCCAGCAGCCGCGGUAAUUCCAGCUCCAAUAGCGUAUAUUAAAGUUGUUGCAGUUAAAAAGCUCGUAGUUGAACCUUGGCCCUGGCUAGCCGGUCCGCCUCACCGCGUGUACUGGUCCGGCCGGGGCUUUCCUCCUGGGGAUCCGCAUGGCCUUCGCUGGUCGUGCUGGGGAACCAGGACUUUUACUUUGAAAAAAUUAGAGUGUUCAAAGCAGGCAUCCGCUCGAAUACAUUAGCAUGGAAUAAUGGAAUAGGACGUGUGGUUCUAUUUCGUUGGUUUCUAGGACCACCGUAAUGAUUAAUAGGGAUAGUCGGGGGCAUCAGUAUUCGAUUGUCAGAGGUGAAAUUCUUGGAUUUAUCGAAGACUAACUACUGCGAAAGCAUUUGCCAAGGAUGUUUUCAUUAAUCAGGAACGAAAGUUAGGGGAUCGAAGACGAUCAGAUACCGUCGUAGUCUUAACCAUAAACUAUGCCGACUAGGGAUCGGGCGAUGUUCCUUUUAUGACUCGCUCGGCACCUUGCGAGAAAUCACAAGUGUUUGGGUUCUGGGGGGAGUAUGGUCNCAAGGCUGAAACUUAAAGAAAUUGACGGAAGGGCACCACCAGGAGUGGAGCNUGCGGCUUAAUUUGACUCNACACGGGAAAACUCACCAGGUCCAGACACAAGAAGGAUUGACAGUAUUAAGAGCUNNNUCAUGA